ACCAUGUUGUUGAUGAGCUGAAGACCAUGACUGAAGCACAGCAUCACUGCAGAGAGAACCACAUGGACCUGGCCACCAUACGAGACCAGGAGGACCUGGAGACCCUGAAGACCCUGAAGAAACCGAUCCACUCACGAGUCUGGAUCGGACUGUUCUAUUACUUGGAAGACUGGAGGUGGUCACUGUCAAACACAAGUUUCUACAAACCGGGGGAGAUGGAGUUCAGACGAUGGAAUUCUGGUGAACCAAACAACAAAAACUAUGAUCAACACUGCGGAGUGAUGAAUACAGAUGGGCGAUGGCACGACUUUCAGUGUGGGACGUUCUUAAAGUCAGUCUGCUUCGAUGUCAGAGGGCCAAACACAUUAGUCCUCAUUAACACCACCAUGACAUGGACUGAGGCC